GAUGAACGCUGGCGGCGUGCCUAAUACAUGCAAGUCGAGCGAACAGACGAGGAGCUUGCUCCUCUGACGUUAGCGGCGGACGGGUGAGUAACACGUGGAUAACCUACCUAUAAGACUGGGAUAACUUCGGGAAACCGGAGCUAAUACCGGAUAAUAUAUUCAACCGCAUGGUUCAAUAGUGAAAGACGGUUUUGCUGUCACUUAUAGAUGGAGCCGCUCCGCAUUAGCUAGUUGGUAAGGUAACGGCUUACCAAGGCGACGAUGCGUAGCCGACCUGAGAGGGUGAUCGGCCACACUGGAACUGAGACACGGUCCAGACUCCUACGGGAGGCAGCAGUAGGGAAUCUUCCGCAAUGGGCGAAAGCCUGACGGAGCAACGCCGCGUGAGUGAUGAAGGUCUUCGGAUCGUAAAACUCUGUUAUUAGGGAAGAACAAAUGUGUAAGUAACUAUGCACGUCUUGACGGUACCUAAUCAGAAAGCCACGGCUAACUACGUG
rnacentral:rRNA from 1 species